rnacentral:lncRNA from 1 species
AUUAUGGCUGGGCUAACAAGAAAAUUGGUUUUUUUAGGAAUACAAAAAUCCUUGAGUUAAAGAGAGUUUAAAUCAUCAUUCAAAGUUCAAGCACACUCUCUUUUUAACCAAUCUCACUCAUUCCCAACUUUUUCCCUUUUUCAUUUUACAUUGAGUUCACUUUACAUGUUUUUUCUCUUUUCUUCUUUUCUUUUCUUUUCACAUGCAUUUUUCUUUUUCAUUCUUUUGAACUCAAUGCUUUUUCUUUUCUUUUGCCUUUCACUUUCCCCAUACAACCCCAAACUUGAACCUUAUUAUCACAAACAAUUAUUCUCAAC